rnacentral:tRNA from 1 species
GCCUUGGUAGCUCAGUCGGCAGAGCGCGUGCCAUUUAAGCCCGUGGCCGCGGGUUCGAGCCCCGCCCGAGGUG